rnacentral:rRNA from 1 species
ACGGUCCUAAGGUAGCGAAAUUCCUUGUCGGGUAAGUUCCGACCUGCACGAAUGGCGUAAUGAUGGCCAGGCUGUCUCCACCCGAGACUCAGUGAAAUUGAACUCGCUGUGAAGAUGCAGUGUACCCGCGGCAAGACGGAAAGACCCCGUGAACCUUUACUAUAGCUUGACACUGAACAUUGAGCCUUGAUGUGUAGGAUAGGUGGGAGGCUUUGAAGUGUGGACGCCAGUCUGCAUGGAGCCGACCUUGAAAUACCACCCUUUAAUGUUUGAUGUUCUAACGUUGGCCCCUAAUCGGGGUUGCGGACAGUGUCUGGUGGGUAGUUUGACUGGGGCGGUCUCCUCCUAAAGAGUAACGGAGGAGCACGAAGGUUGGCUAAUCCUGGUCGGACAUCAGGAGGUUAGUGCAAUGGCAUAAGCCAGCUUGACUGCGAGCGUGACGGCGCGAGCAGGUGCGAAAGCAGGUCAUAGUGAUCCGGUGGUUCUGAAUGGAAGGGCCAUCGCUCAACGGAUAAAAGGUACUCCGGGGAUAACAGGCUGAUACCGCCCAAGAGUUCAUAUCGACGGCGGUGUUUGGCACCUCGAUGUCGGCUCAUCACAUCCUGGGGCUGAAGUAGGUCCCAAGGGUAUGGCUGUUCGCCAUUUAAAGUGGUACGCGAGCUGGGUUUAGAACGUCGUGAGACAGUUCGGUCCCUAUCUGCCGUGGGCGCUGGAGAACUGAGGGGGGCUGCUCCUAGUACGAGAGGACCGGAGUGGACGCAUCACUGGUGUUCGGGUUGUCAUGCCAAUGGCACUGCCCGGUAGCUAAAUGCGGAAGAGAUAAGUGCUGAAAGCAUCUAAGCACGAAACUUGCCCCGAGAUGAGUUCUCCCUGACUCCUUGAGAGUCCUGAAGGAACGUUGAAGACGACGACGUUGAUAGGCCGGGUGUGUAAGCGCAGCGAUGCGUUGAGCUAACCGGUACUAAUGAACCGUGAGGCUUAACCUU